rnacentral:tRNA from 1 species
GCCGACGUAGCUCAAUCGGCAGAGCAUCCGCCUUGUAAGCGGAAGUGUGCGGGUUCAAGUCCCGCCGUCGGCU